rnacentral:rRNA from 1 species
CAAUAGCGUAUAUUAAAGUUGUUGCAGUUAAAAAGCUCGUAGUUGGAUUUCUGGUGGGAGCGAUCGGUCUGGCGCUUAGCGCGAGUACUUGCAUCGUCUCCGGCCAUCCUUGGGGAGAGUCUGUCUGGCAUUAAGUUGUCGGGCAGAGGAUCCUCAUCGUUUACUGUGAAAAAAUUAGAGUGUUCAAAGCAGGCUUAUGCCGUUGAAUAUAUUAGCAUGGAAUAAUAAGAUAGGACUUUGGUACUAUUUUGUUGGUUUGCGCACCAAAGUAAUGAUUAAUAGGGACAGUUAGGGGUAUUCGUAUUCCGUUGUCAGAGGUGAAAUUCUUGGAUUUACGGAAGACGAACUACUGCGAAAGCAUUUACCAAGGAUGUUUUCAUUAA